rnacentral:rRNA from 1 species
UACGAAGGGGGCUAGCGUUGUUCGGAAUUACUGGGCGUAAAGCGCACGUAGGCGGAUUUGUAAGUCAGGGGUGAAAUCCCGGGGCUCAACCUCGGAACUGCCUUUGAUACUGCAAAUCUCGAGUCCGGAAGAGGUGAGUAGAAUUCCUAGUGUAGAGGUGAAAUUCGUAGAUAUUAGGAAGAACACCAGUGGCGAAGGCGGCUCACUGGUCCGGUACUGACGCUGAGGUGCGAAAGCGUGGGGAGCAAACAGG